GAUGAACGCUAGCGGCAGGCCCAACACAAGCAAGUCGAACGGUAACAGAUCUAGCUUGCUAGAUGCUGACGAGUGGCGCACGGGUGCGUAACACGUAUACAAUCUACCUUUAACUGAGGGAUAGCCCAGAGAAAUUUGGAUUAAUACCUCAUAGUAUUAUAAUUAGGCAUCUUUUUAUAAUUAAAACUUCGGUGGUUAAAGAUGAGUAUGCGUACUAUUAGCUAGUUGGUAAGGUAAAAGCUUACCAAGGCAACGAUAGUUAGGGGGCCUGAAAGGGUGAUCCCCCACACUGGUACUGAGACACGGACCAGACUCCUACGGGAGGCAGCAGUGAGGAAUAUUGCACAAUGGAGGAAACUCUGAUGCAGCCAUGCCGCGUGCAGGAAGAAUGCCCUAUGGGUUGUAAACUGCUUUUAUACAAGAAGAAACCUCGGUACGUGUACCGACUUGACGGUAUUGUAUGAAUAAGCACCGGCUAACUCCGUGCC
rnacentral:rRNA from 1 species